AACUUUCAACAACGGAUCUCUUGGUUCUCGCAUCGAUGAAGAGCGCAGCGAAAUGCGAUACCUAGUGUGAAUUGCAGCCAUCGUGAAUCAUCGAGUUCUUGAACGCACAUUGCGCCCGUCGGCAUUCCGGCGGGCAUGCCUGUCUGAGCGUCGUUU
rnacentral:rRNA from 1 species